AUGGCUAAUCACCUCGUCUCCGGACUUAUCAUCUCCAGUAUCUUCCGCAUCCGAACUGGUUCACUAGACUUUAGGUGCUUUUUAGCUGUCUUCGAGGUUCGUUUCUCAGCAACUACCCCCCGGGAUUCGUCUUCUCAGCUUUUGACUAUCUCGAGUUUCUCAUCUAUGAACGUGCCGGUUCUGCUCUCCCCUUUUCUUUUGGGUUGCCCAACCCUCCAUAACUCAAAUAUUAUUAUCUCUUUAAUUACGCCCCGCACAACCAUCUUAACUCGCUCGGCCUCCUCAAAGAAGAAGUCUUCUGUGUCAGCUUCUCGCUUCAGCUCGCAGGCCUACUGUGCUGCUCUUCAAGCAGAUGCUUCUUUCUCUUCCAGCCCAAGCCCAUCUUGA